ACGGGAGGCAGCAGUGAGGAAUAUUGGUCAAUGGGCGGAAGCCUGAACCAGCCAAGUCGCGUGAAGGAUGAAGGUAUUAUGUAUUGUAAACUUCUUUAGACGUAGAGAAAUAAGGGGAUCGUGAUCCCUGAUGCUAGUAUACGUAGAAUAAGGACCGGCUAAUUCCGUGCCAGCAGCCGCGGUAAUACGGAAGGUCCGGGCGUUAUCCGGAUUUAUUGGGUUUAAAGGGAGCGUAGGCGGCCUUUUAAGCGUGUUGUGAAAUGUCCCGGCUCAACCGUGGCACUGCAGCGCGAACUGGAGGGCUUGAGUGCGCCGGAAGUAGGCGGAAUUCGUUGUGUAGCGGUGAAAUGCUUAGAUAUGACGAAGAACUCCGAUUGCGAAGGCAGCUUACUGUCGCGUAACUGACGCUGAAGCUCGAAAGUGCGGGUAUCGAACAGGAUUAGAUACCCUGGUA
rnacentral:rRNA from 1 species